rnacentral:lncRNA from 1 species
UGACCCGAUUACUAUUUUAAGGAGUGACUUUCGUGAACGUUAUGUUUCACCACCGAUUGAAAAUUCGCAUGUAAAAGAUGUAACAUACACAAUUCAGGAUACAAGUGACCCGAGUGACGUUUAACUACAGGUAAAUUAAUUAGAGAGGUGUGAAAAGUGAUAAUUUUGUUUUUAUAUAUCUACAUGAUCUAAUUGGACACCCAAACAUAUCAGGUCGUCUACUGUUUAAAACAAUCUCCUUAGUCCUUAUUUUGUUGCCCAGAUACUACUCAUUUCAGGGGCGAAAUUGCAUAAAUGUAAUAGCUGUUUUGAUUUAUAAAUGUGUAGAUAUGAUUAAUCAAUAAUAUAUGUUUACCGGCACUAAAAAUAGAAUGCAUUUUCCGUACGCUUUAUUUAUAAAUAGUACUACACAUGAUUGCUAGUAAUGGUGAAAUCGACUACCUGUAAAUAUUGACAUUUAUCACUGACAUGAUUAUGGUCUGUAAUCCAUAAAGCACAAAUAGUUUCAAACAGUAAGUACACUUUUUGUAAAGUAAUAUCUUGAAGCAAAUGUUUUAACACUGAGGAUUGGGGCUUAAAUUUCAACUAUAUGUAAAUAUGCAUAUUUAAAAAGAUAAAUACACUCCGGACCCGCACGAGAUAACCUCGAGUCGACAGUAAUUGUGUGUUAUAAAGUUAUAUACAUUUCUCAUCAUUCAUACUGUAUUUUGAUAUCAGCGGGAUCGCAACAUUUACAUUAUUUAUCAGCGUACGUCCUGUGGCAAAUAUUUCAUAUAUAUUAAAGAGUAAAUAUAUAAUUUAAAGUUUCUGCAAGGCACGAGGAGCGGAUGAUUUGAAUUUCCCUAGAUGCAUGUAGAGUAAAAAGAAAGUAUAUUUAUAGAUAGAGAUAGUUAUUCUUAAGUUAUGUAUAAUGUAACGAGAAGAGAUACAAUGUAGUGUCAAAUUCCUUACAAAAUUGGAUAUCAAGUCCCCUCUGCCGAUCGGACGUUGCUGUGUAUUUAUUACAUCCAAUAUAGCCUUAUAAACGCCAAAUCUUUAAAAGGGUUAAUCAAUGGUGGAUCCAGUGAUUUUCAAAAGGGGGCACUGCUUGCCUUAGAGGGGGUCCGCUCAGGUCAUGCUUCAGUGAUUCCUUAUAUAAUCAACCAAAUUUUUCCCACAAAAGGGGGGCCGGGUCCCCUCUAAUGCGCCUUUGGUUUAAUUACCAAGCCAGAGAGAAAUCCAGUGAUGACCCUAGUCAAUCCGUGGGGUAACCUGCCAGAGAGAAAUUCAGUGAUGACCCUAGUGUUUCCAUUGGUAACCUUUUUGUACAAAAUAAAACUAUAAAUGGUAUACACGGGACAAUUAAAGAUGUGAAAAUCAACAUAUAAAUUGACUUCUCAAUCUAAUUACUACAAGCGAGUAUAACGAAAUCAGAGAUCAAUAUUUUAAUUAAAUUGAUUGACUUUUUUAUCACUACUUAAUUUGCAGUGUCCUAUUUCUUAACGUUUAAUUACUUGUAUUUUUAGAGUGAGAGAUAAAUGGCCGAAGCGGGAACGAAACAGAAAGUUAUAUUGUGUUUAGGUGGUGCCUUUAAUCCUCCGCACAGUAGACAUGUUAUGGCAAUGGUAUUAGGGAAACAGUGGCUUGAAUCAAAUACCAAUUACCAAGUUGUGGCUGGAAGACUAGCCGUAGCGCCGGAUGGAUAUGUAAAAACAAAAUCUAGGAAAACAGGAGCUAAAUGCAUGAAAGCAAAACACAGAAUAAAACUUUGCGAGCUAUCUUGCUGUGAACAAAGAGAUUGGUUAGCACCAUAUCACCGACCAGUUGGUUCCGCUGGGGAAUGUGGUGAAAAGACAAUAUUAGAAAUGAAAAGCCAAUCUCGGGAUUUAGAAGAUAUGCAUGUUGCUGUUAUAGUCGGAGCAGAUAGAGCAAUGAACAAAUCUGGACAUGCUAAAUGGCACAAGGAAUUCAAGCAUAUAACUGUGUGUAUAGGGAGGAAGGGAGAAACAGCCAGAAUUCUCGAAAGAUAUGAAAAAGAUAAAGAUUCGGGCAAUGUAAAACAUAAACAGUUUUGCCUUAUACCAGACGAACUUGACAAUGUUAGUUCUACCGCAGUAAGACAAGUUCUUGCUAAGAUGGAAGGAUCAGAAAGUGAUAAGGAACAAGUGAUGGAUACCUUAAUAAAAGAUGGAUGGCUUCUUAAAAGCCAAAUGUCUUAUAUAUUAGAAAAUGAAUCGGAUCUUUAUUUUUGAUACUUUAAAACAUUAACUUACCAUUCGGUAUCUUUUUUACGACUGCAAACCUAUGAACAAUAUACUUUCGGACAAAAAGGAACUGGUAUUUUCUCCUUUAAAGUAUUUUACGGCUUGAAUCAUUAAUGCUCUGAUUGUUUCCUCGUCUACGGGAAUAUGUUUCAAGUUUGUAAAAUAAUGCGUGAAAUAAUACAUCAAGUCACAAAAAAUUGGGUAGAAUAUUUGAUAAGUUAUAAACGACAAAAAGAUAUGUGUAUACCUCGACGUCACGCAUGAGAUGAAAGGAGGUUGCGUUUUAAAAAUUAUCGAAACAAAUGAAUGUAUCUAGAAGGUUUCAUCAGCCCAUAUAUCAUAUAUUCGGCAUUUAUAUGAUUUUAUAAAAUACGUGUAUAAUUGUUAAUUUUUUUCAUAAAUGUGUACUUAGGAACUGAAACUAACGUUCAUAUUAGUAAUACUUUGGCACUGGCUACGGUUACAUGGAAAUGUAACAAUAAUAAAAAUAUUAUUGUUACAUUGGAGACUAAUUGCCGGAAUGCAAAGUUGGGUAAGGAACCGAUUAAUUACGAAUGUAACAAUAAUUAUUGAGGCUACGAUUACAUUGCGUUAUUGUUACAAGAAAAACAGCAAUGUACGCUAGAUUUAUUGAAACGAAACGAAACUGAAACAAUAUCGAGACACAAAUUUCAUACAGCUAUACAAAAUUAACGCACUUAUCAAAAAUUGAAACAUCAAAAGCAAAGUUUGCUAACUGUGAACUAACACUGUGAACUUCUGUUUACAUGUAUACAAUUGAGAAUGGAAAUGGGGAAGGUGUCAAAGCGACAACAACCCGAACAUAGAGCAGACAACAGCCGAAGGUCACCAAUGGGUCUUCAAUGUAGCGAGAAACUCCCGCACCCGUCGGAGGCGUCCUUCAGCUGGCCCCUAAACAAAUAUGUAUACUAGUUCAGUGAUUACGGACGUCAUACUAAACUCCGAUUUAUACACAAGAAACUACAUUAAAAAAUCCUACAAGACUAACAAAGGCCAUGCAAAGGCUCCUGACUUGAGAAAGGCACAACUUGAAUUGCGGCGGGGUUAAACAUGUUUAUGAGAUAUCAACCCUCCCCUAUACCUCUAGCCAAUGUAGAAAAAACAACGCAACGCACAACACUACGCAUAGUAAAACUCAGUUUAAGAGAUGUCCGAGUCCGAUUUCAGAAUCCAUGGAGGACGUACUAUAAAAAAAUCCAAAAAUUGUAUGUUAUACUUGUAUGUAUCGUAAAUAUAAGAUAAUGUCUUCAACUUUUAUUAUUUAGUACAUAUUACUAGUCCCAUCGAACAUUGCUGUUUUUCAUGUAACAAUAACACAAUGUAACCGUAGCCUCAAUAAUUAUUGUUACAUUCGUAAUUAAUCGGUUCCUUAUCCAACCAUGCAUUCCGGCAUUUAGUCCCCAAUGUAACAAUAAUAUUUUUAUUAUUGUUACAUUUCCAUGUAACCGUAGCCAGUGCCUAUUACUUUAGCGCGAGUUUGUCUCCUCGUCGUGUAUACAUUCCUGACUUUCAUAGAAAUGUGCUUCGGAAUAAAAAUUUAAAGUUAUCACCGGCAUACGAAUGGGGGUAAAUGGAACUCUUCAAAGCAUCGCACAUUCUCUGUAAUAAAUGCAGAGAUCUCUGUCUUCGCUUUCUACAUUGGAUUACGAUCACGGAACUUGAGAUCUCUCUGAAAUAAAAUUAGGUUGGUUCUUCAAAGUAAAACUAUAAUUUCGCAAGAAGACUUUUGGUUAACAACAAUAAAAUGGUAGCAAACUAACAAAGCUAUCAUAUCAAGUCAUAAAUGUUUCCAUCAAAAUAAAGC